GGAGGAUGCAUUUCUUGCUGAUUUUUCAGAGUUACGGAUGUUUUUGUCCUGCAAUGAAGCUUCCAGGUCUGAAAUUUCAUGUAAACUGCAAUCCAUGGUUAUUGUUAAUGAGCAGAACACUUCCUCCCCUCAGCUUGCUGAAAGUGUUAUUCUUGAAAAGUUUAAUAACCUCAGAACAGAUGAAGUCCAUUCCAAUAAGGUGCUUGAUGUUUCCUGCCUCAGUAACGCAGUUGACCAGUCAUCUGUAGGAAAUGCUGAAGACAGUAAAAUAUUAGCAUAUUCUCAGGACAACUCUCCUAAAAGUUCUAUCAGCGAUUCUUCAUGCAACUGCCCUACAUUGUCUGCAAUUUUAGCAAUGGAUUCUGUAGCACGAGCAUCAGUGCUGAGGAAACGCAUAAACUCGGUAGAAAC
rnacentral:misc_RNA from 1 species